ACACCGGAGCCUGCGCGCUUUGAAGCCCUAUCCACGAUAGCAGGGGAGGUCACAGUGGGACGCGCCCCGCGUCGCGCAAAACACCGGCGCGGCGCGGUGCCGCUCGAGGUUCUGAGAGGAAACACAGUAAUUUAACGGCGCGAGCGAUCCACACAGUCCACAGACAAACACAGCGGCGGCGGUAAUGGCUGCUGUUCAUCUGCCGACACCUGUGAAUUAACAACCGGGGGCUGCAGGGCGCCGUCCAGCAGCGCGGCAGCGAAAUGAAACACUGUUUUCAUAUCGCCGCUCCAUUGAUCUCGGGGUGAAACGCUUCCUGCGGGAGCUGCAAGCGGAAGGCGACGCCACGUCUCAAAGGCCGCGCGACUGGUGGAGGUGAACGGGCCUGUGGAUCUGCACUUCACGCACAGACACCUCUCAGUCCCAGGAAGGACUCGAACCAACGACGAGGCUCCACCUGCCGAUGGACGGAUCCUUCUGCUGGAGCCGCCUUCCGACGGUCGGAGAACGGUGGGAGCAGCCAACUGGAUAAAAAGAAAAAUAUGCAGAGAACCUCUGUUGGCGGAUGAAGACUCUUCCUCAACUCACUUGAGGCGACUACAGCUGAUACCGUCCAGAAGUAAAGGAAUGAAGAUCACCAUGAGGCCAAAAAGGCGUCUGUGCAGGUGCAGGAGGCCAUCGCUGGUGUGAGGCAACGCACAAACAAAGCCAAGACCCAACGACUGACCAGCACCAUGGUUUGGACCCUUCUCGCAGAGGAAGGAAGGAACCGGCAGAGAAGAUCAUAUGAGGGUCAAAGGUCAAGAGGGACGACAUCUGGUGGAGUCCAACAGAAAGGCCUGGCAGAAGCAUCAGCAACGGAAGAAGAAUGAAGCGUGGUGGCGACUCUGCUUCGCUUCCUCUGGCGCUGGAAACAUGUGGCAUGUGGAAGUAUCGGGACAUAUUGUGGAGGAAAACAACAUCCCCUUUGUUAGAAACGGGAGGUUCGGGCAUUAAUGGUCCUUCCAACAAUGCAGUGAUCCCAAAGCAGGUCUCAACAGCAGCAGUCCAAGACGUUUGACUGGAAAAUCCCCUCGGUGCUUUUGUAACAAGCACACGUAUGAAAGGUUUAACUGUAUAUUAAGUGUUAGCGUCUUUGUGCCCUGGAGCACGGGACCUUCUGAAUAACAUGCUAACUUUCUAUUCUUCAUGUCGAGAAUUGACGACAAUAGUUAGAACUGAGAACAAAGGCCCAGCAUCGCUUUACACGGCAGCUUUCAGCCCGUUGUUCAGCCUUGUGCAUCGCAGCGUCACCACCGUUGCUAACGCUACGGAGGUGAUACGGAGGAACCAUGGGCUGAUGUCACGCACGGAGAAGAGGAACGCUGCAGGCCGAUGGAGAAACUGUACGUCCUGUAUAAGUCGGACUGGUACAGGAGCUUGUUUUAAAUGGGCUCUUCUGCCUCUGAUCCUAGACGUUCACAGUUUAACGUGUGGAACUUCCACAAAUCCUUAGGAAUAGUAUUACACUUACUGUUGCUGUGUUAAUACUGAUGUCAUUUAGAUGAAACGAUCAUCAAAUGCUUAUGCAAAUGCUUAAAAGAGUUUAUGUUAAAUGGAUAAAUAUGUGACAUUACUUUGUAAUGUGACUCAUCUGCUUUUAUCGACUAGUAACAAUGAAUGCGUCCUAAAUCUAAUCCAUGUUCCACAGGAUGCAUUAAAAAAGUUGCUUCUUCCUUGCAAUUCUAUAAAAAAAUAUUCCAAAUGACACAAAGAAACAGCCAAAAGCACAAAGUGAGUUUAUCUGAAGCUGUUCCAGAAGCUUGUCUUCUAUCUGGCUUUUUCUGGAGCUCAGCUCUGAGUUAGAGCCAUUUUCUACAGAAUUAUUCCCUGGACUGUAAUGGACGAAUCGUGUGUAGCUCUAACGAACUAUCCCAGGCUGCACCUAUCUUAAAAAAAAUCCAGUAAUGUUGAAUAAACACAAAUCAUAGGCCAUAUUCCAUGAAUUUGUAAUGAUGCUGUAAAACAUGCCCUGGCAACCAUUAAAAAUGCACAGCAGGCCACAUUACAGGCUGAGUGGUUCUAUAAUCCCCAGUAAUCUCUGGUUGUAUGGUUUGACAUGCACUAGAGCAUCUUCACCCCCCGUAGCUUUACACAGUGACCUACCACCCCUGGUUUUGAGCGUUUCAUGUAAAUAUAGUGUGUAAUGACACACUGUCAGAGCACGGAUGCUAUUAUAGCCUUCCUACCAAGCAGAGGUCAUCUCUGCCACCCCGCCCAAAGGAGGGCUGGCCUCACCACUGUGGUCGCAGGGCUCUGCUUUCACCCAGACCAAAAUGACAGAUGAGCUCUUAUCCUUUACAUUUUCAACAGGCGUCUCUUUGUGGAGCGCGCAGGGAAUCGGAUCGGAAACUCGAUAGGGAUUUCACCGGACGCUCGCUAAUCAGGGGGAUGGUCAUGAAGCCUUUUUAAUCUUUGCUCUUCUUACCUGUUGCGGGCUGAUUUAGAAGCCUGCCAGCUGCACACAUGUUAUGACAGAUGAUUAUGAGACGGGAGUCCAGGAUUCAUCACAGCACACGUACAUUCCAGGACUGAGCCGAUCCACCGUCGUCCUUUGAAGGUCAGGGUGGUGAUGGGCUGUAUGUUGUGCAGAUCUGCUCUGGUCACGGUUACCGUGAAAUAAAACAGUCCACGUCUCCAAAUAUAAUAUCUUUUCAAGCCACAUCUGAAAGAAAUGCUGCCCACUGCGUUUAAUUUAGCAACACGUUGUAUCACUUGGAAGCCUAAAAAUACGACAGAUUUCUCCUGCCGCUCGCAAAACUGCUCGUUGCUUUUGCAAAUUUCGCAAAAGUGCCACAUUGGGAGCAGUCGCUCCAAAAGACGGAGAUGUCGAGAAUGUUACAGCAAACGGUUACACUCCAAGAAUAUUCAAAAUAACACCAAUAAUAGCCAAAAGUAAAACCGGAGUAAUCUCCAGGACUUCAUCAGAAGCUUUUCCAGAUGGCUGUCUUACAUUACAGUAAAACCACGGGGCUCACGCUGGCACUCACAUCUGACUUGAAGCCAUUUUGCUCAGGAAUUCAUCCUAGGGAAUAUUCCCCUUCUUUUUAAAAGCCCUGUCUGCACCAUGGGGAAACACUGCUCCAUUCAUUUAUUAGUGACACUUUGAAGUCCUUCUCACCUUCCUCCUAAACUCUGCUGAUGGUCCAGUUCUGCACUUACUACUCAAAGUAAAAGCAGAGACUCUGAGCUACGAGGCCAUCUGGUUUAACUGGUCUGUCAUAUGUGCUUCCACUGUAAAGGUUUUAUUAGCGGCGUGAUUGUUCUGCCAAAGGCUCAAGCUGUGUAAGGAAGAAGUGUCCAGAAGGUAGAAAUGCAGUGAAUUAUGCUAAUUCUCUUAUUUUCUUGUAACAAAUUCUUAAGUAUUCAUUUAUAACGUUCUCUGAGGUAAAUAAGCCAUUUGGGGCUGGUUUGAAUGAAAAAUAAAUAUCAAUAAAGUGGUUUUAUCAAUGUCCUGAAGCUCACUAUUUCAUGGCUCCUAAAUAAAAGACGACGUUG